AAAUUGAAGAGUUUGAUCAUGGCUCAGAUUGAACGCUGGCGGCAGGCCUAACACAUGCAAGUCGAACGGUAACAGGAAGCAGCUUGCUGCUUUGCUGACGAGUGGCGGACGGGUGAGUAAUGUCUGGGAAACUGCCUGAUGGAGGGGGAUAACUACUGGAAACGGUGGCUAAUACCGCAUAACGUCGCAAGACCAAAGAGGGGGACCUUCGGGCCUCUUGCCAUCAGAUGUGCCCAGAUGGGAUUAGCUUGUUGGUGAGGUAACGGCUCACCAAGGCGACGAUCCCUAGCUGGUCUGAGAGGAUGACCAGCCACACUGGAACUGAGACACGGCCCAGACUCCUACGGGAGGCAGCAGUGGGGAAUAUUGCACAAUGGGCGCAAGCCUGAUGCAGCCAUGCCGCGUGUAUGAAGAAGGCCUUCGGGUUGUAAAGUACUUUCAGCGGGGAGGAAGGUGUUGUGGUUAAUAACCGCAGCAAUUGACGUUA
rnacentral:rRNA from 1 species